UACGUAGGGUGCGAGCGUUAAUCGGAAUUACUGGGCGUAAAGCGUGCGCAGGCGGCGCGUUAAGACAGGUGUGAAAGCCCCGAGCUUAACUUGGGAAUUGCGCUUGUGACUGGCGUGCUGGAGUGUGGCAGAGGGAGGUGGAAUUCCACGUGUAGCAGUGAAAUGCGUAGAUAUCGUGAGGAAGACCAGUGGCGAAGGCGGGUCUCUGGACAGUUCCUGACGCUGAGGCGCGAAGGCCAGGGGAGCAAACGGG
rnacentral:rRNA from 1 species